GAUGAACGCUAGCGGCAGGCCUAAUACAUGCAAGUCGAGGGGCAGCAUCAUCGCUUGCGAUGGAUGGCGACCGGCGCACGGGUGCGUAACGCGUAUGCAACCUACCCACAACUGGAGGAUAGCCCGGAGAAAUUCGGAUUAAUACUCCAUAAUGCAGGGGUACUACCUGGUACUAUUUGCUAAAGAUUUAUUGGUUGUGGAUGGGCAUGCGUCUGAUUAGAUAGUUGGUGAGGUAACGGCUCACCAAGUCGACGAUCAGUAGGGGGUCUGAGAGGAUGAUCCCCCACACUGGCACUGAGAUACGGGCCAGACUCUACGGGA
rnacentral:rRNA from 1 species